GGCCACGCCCACCUGCGCUACGUCACACGCGUCAGGACGUCACUGUCGGGAACUGCUGGGGCAGUAAACAAGUAAACAACCCGCGGUGAGGCGCGCGCCAGUGCAGAGCUGAACUCGUUAAAUACACGGGUUAGGAGAAUAUAUUCUAAUAUACCUAGUCUGAUAUCCUUUCUGAUAAAAGAAAGGGCCUCUGACAUUGGAUUGAUCAGGUAGUUCAGAGACGUUCGGCUGACGUCGCGCUCCGCACCUGUGCUGCUGUGUGUUCAGCGAGGCUUCAUUUCCACUCACCUGAAAGCAGCUCGAGAGUCAAUGUAACCUGUCCCGUCUGUCCUGAGAGCUUCGUGAGAUCAGGUUGACAUGGAUACGAGCCAGUGAAAAUAAUGUAAGCUGAUCCUCCGUGUGAGAGAGGCCAGAUCACAUUUACGGUAAGAGAGCGAGACAGAGAGACUGUAUAAUAUGUGUGU
rnacentral:lncRNA from 1 species